UACGUAGGGUGCGAGCGUUAAUCGGAAUUACUGGGCGUAAAGCGUGCGCAGGCGGUUUUGUAAGCCAGAUGUGAAAUCCCCGGGCUCAACCUGGGAAUGGCAUUUGGGACUGCAAGGCUGGAGUACGGCAGAGGAGACUGGAAUUCCUGGUGUAGCAGUGAAAUGCGUAGAUAUCAGGAGGAAUACCGAUGGCGAAGGCAAUCCCCUGGGCCUGCACUGACGCUCAUGCACGAAAGCGUGGGGAGCAAACAGG
rnacentral:rRNA from 1 species